GCCGAUGCCCCUUUCUCCCCUGCAUCUCAGCCAUAAAUCGGUUCCCCUGCCCCCAAAUCCAAUUGCGAUGAACAGAGAGAUUGAGUUGUGGAUGAUUCUUAAAGAUGAUUCGAUCAUAGUUGCUCACCGCUACAGCGACGGAUGAUUCUCUCUAUAUCCUUGUUGUCCACUGCACUACCAUCGCACCACCACAUGUAACUUCCAAUUCAGCCUUCCCAUUGCAUUUCAACUCCAUUAAAUCACAUUUGAUUUAAUGUAGUUGACUCUUGAGCUUGAUAAGGGAUUUUAAUUGUUAUUGUUCAUUGUACUCUUAAAUCAAAUUCGUAUUUUUAUUUGGUGCUUUGCAGUUUGCACACAACCUAUUUAAUGAAAUGCCACAUAGAGCUGGAUCAAUUGUUUUGUGGAAGAAUAUUGGGUUUCAAGGCAACAAAACUAAUUAGACUAAAACAACAUAUGGAGGGCUUUCUCAUAGCUAUGUGCUCUACUGGAAUUCUGGAAAUAUCCUUUUGGCCAUAGUCCUUGCAAUAUGCACGUAGGGUGGUAUCACUUUUGGAGAACAUAUUGUCUAUAAGUCCAAGGCACUCUCUUAUUCGUCCUUCUUCAAAGGUAUACCAUCCUUUUAAUUUAUUUUAUAUAUUUAGAUACUUUGUUUUGUUUGUUUUUCAAAAAUGGAAUACACAAGAGAAGAAUUCGGGUGAGGAAAUUGAAUCUAUGGUCGUAGACUUGAUGGAGCGUUGGAUUAAGGAGGUGUUUGGGGUCCAGACAUGAACUCCGUAAAGGUAUCUCAAGGAACUAGUGAGAUUGUUUUUGCACAUGAAAAGUAGAUAACUGUCAAAAGCCAUCAAUGAGAUUGUGCUGCUAUACAGUUGAAAUUUGAUUUUCAUAGGGCCGUCUACAACCUCAACACUUUUUGGGUUAGUUUAAAGAACUUUACUUCUCUACAAUUCCAGUUGCAAGCAUGGAUUGAAGACAUUGGUUUGAGUUAAAAGUAUGAAGACAUCAGUCGGUCACUUUCAUAUUUAGAGUUAUAUGUAUUGUUGUGUUACUGGAAGACUUUUGUAAUAGUGUGUUACUUUGAAACCUUUGUAUUUUA